GGUUAAGCGACUAAGCGUACACGGUGGAUGCCCUGGCAGUCAGAGGCGAUGAAGGACGUGCUAAUCUGCGAUAAGCGUCGGUAAGGUGAUAUGAACCGUUAUAACCGGCGAUUUCCGAAUGGGGAAACCCAGUGUGAUUCGUCACACUAUCAUUAACUGAAUCCAUAGGUUAAUGAGGCGAACCGGGGGAACUGAAACAUCUAAGUACCCCGAGGAAAAGAAAUCAACCGAGAUUCCCCCA
rnacentral:rRNA from 1 species